rnacentral:rRNA from 1 species
CAGCAGCCACGGUAAUACGUAGGGCGCAAGCGUUGUCCGGAAUUAUUGGGCGUAAAGAGCUCGUAGGCGGUCUGUCGCGUCUGGUGUGAAAUCCCGAGGCUCAACCUCGGGCUUGCAUCGGGUACGGGCAGACUAGAGUGCGGUAGGGGAGACUGGAAUUCCUGGUGUAGCGGUGGAAUGCGCAGAUAUCAGGAGGAACACCGAUGGCGAAGGCAGGUCUCUGGGCCGCAACUGACGCUGAGGAGCGAAAGCAUGGGGAGCGAACAGGAUUAGAUACCCCAGUAGUCCCUGUCUCUUAUAA